UACGUAGGCAGCGAGCGUUGUUCGGAGUUACUGGGCGUAAAGGGUGUGUAGGCGGUCCUUUAAGUUUGGUGUGAAAUCUCCCGGCUCAACCGGGAGGGUGCGCCGAAUACUGAGGGACUUCGAGUAUGGGAUGGGAAAGUGGAAUUCCUGGUGUAGCGGUGAAAUGCGUAGAUAUCAGGAGGAACACCUGUGGUGUAGACGGCUUUCUGGACCAUAACUGACGCUGAGACACGAAAGCGUGGGUAGCAAACAGG
rnacentral:rRNA from 1 species